UUUAUGGAGAGUUUGAUCCUGGCUCAGGAUGAACGCUGGCGGCGUGCCUAAUACAUGCAAGUCGAGCGAACGGACGAGAAGCUUGCUUCUCUGAUGUUAGCGGCGGACGGGUGAGUAACACGUGGAUAACCUACCUAUAAGACUGGGAUAACUUCGGGAAACCGGAGCUAAUACCGGAUAAUAUUUUGAACCGCAUGGUUCAAAAGUGAAAGACGGUCUUGCUGUCACUUAUAGAUGGAUCCGCGCUGCAUUAGCUAGUUGGUAAGGUAACGGCUUACCAAGGCAACGAUGCAUAGCCGACCUGAGAGGGUGAUCGGCCACACUGGAACUGAGACACGGUCCAGACUCCUACGGGAGGCAGCAGUAGGGAAUCUUCCGCAAUGGGCGAAAGCCUGACGGAGCAACGCCGCGUGAGUGAUGAAGGUCUUCGGAUCGUAAAACUCUGUUAUUAGGGAAGAACAUAUGUGUAAGUAACUGUGCACAUCUUGACGGUACCUAAUCAGAAAGCCACGGCUAACUACGUGCCAGCAGCCGCGGUAAUACGUAGGUGGCAAGCGUUAUCCGGAAUUAUUGGGCGUAAAGCGCGCGUAGGCGGUUUUUUAAGUCUGAUGUGAAAGCCCACGGCUCAACCGUGGAGGGUCAUUGGAAACUGGAAAACUUGAGUGCAGAAGAGGAAAGUGGAAUUCCAUGUGUAGCGGUGAAAUGCGCAGAGAUAUGGAGGAACACCAGUGGCGAAGGCGACUUUCUGGUCUGUAACUGACGCUGAUGUGCGAAAGCGUGGGGAUCAAACAGGAUUAGAUACCCUGGUAGUCCACGCCGUAAACGAUGAGUGCUAAGUGUUAGGGGGUUUCCGCCCCUUAGUGCUGCAGCUAACGCAUUAAGCACUCCGCCUGGGGAGUACGACCGCAAGGUUGAAACUCAAAGGAAUUGACGGGGACCCGCACAAGCGGUGGAGCAUGUGGUUUAAUUCGAAGCAACGCGAAGAACCUUACCAAAUCUUGACAUCCUUUGACAACUCUAGAGAUAGAGCCUUCCCCUUCGGGGGACAAAGUGACAGGUGGUGCAUGGUUGUCGUCAGCUCGUGUCGUGAGAUGUUGGGUUAAGUCCCGCAACGAGCGCAACCCUUAAGCUUAGUUGCCAUCAUUAAGUUGGGCACUCUAAGUUGACUGCCGGUGACAAACCGGAGGAAGGUGGGGAUGACGUCAAAUCAUCAUGCCCCUUAUGAUUUGGGCUACACACGUGCUACAAUGGACAAUACAAAGGGCAGCGAAACCGCGAGGUCAAGCAAAUCCCAUAAAGUUGUUCUCAGUUCGGAUUGUAGUCUGCAACUCGACUACAUGAAGCUGGAAUCGCUAGUAAUCGUAGAUCAGCAUGCUACGGUGAAUACGUUCUCGGGUCUUGUACACACCGCCCGUCACACCACGAGAGUUUGUAACACCCGAAGCCGGUGGAGUAACCUUUUAGGAGCUAGCCGUCGAAGGUGGGACAAAUGAUUGGGGUGAAGUCGUAACAAGGUAGCCGUAUCGGAAGGUGCGGCUGGAUCACCUCCUUU
rnacentral:rRNA from 1 species